GGACUAUGUUUGAGGGGUGCUGUAUGACCCUGUUUUCCAUACCUAGCCAAGUUGUCAUUCAUAUGACAAGUCCACAGAAAGAUGUUAUACGGCCAGGAAUCUAUGAACUACGUCAUUCAUUCAGUCUUCCCUGAAAUGUACGUGACUACAGCUAGCAUCAUAUCACAUGAUGAAAGACCGUGUUUUCCCCUGAGGUUGGCAUGGGGACCUAUUGCUCACAGGAAGAAAAUGACAUUGUCCUUAUUUUGUGACUUCUGGCAACUAUCUUUUUCCAAGGAAGCCCCUUCCCUUCUGCCCUGCCUCUGAGUUCAAGCCGGGAUGCAGCUCCUAGUAUUUUCAAGCAUCUUACAAAUGGAGAUCAGCCCCGUCCUCCUCCGACAUCCUCACCCCGCAUCAGAGUCAGGACUCCACGGUGCUGUGGUCAUCACGGCUGCACGGCCCUGCAACCCUGAGCCCCACUGGGCUCUGACUGUGGUUACCAGCAUCUUAGGAGACAGAAUAACAGUCCGGAAGCAGAAACAGAUACUGUCCACUUCAUAAACAGCCACAGCCACAAGGUUCAUUCCCAGAUCACAAACCAACCCCACUGACCAAACUCCCAAGCUACUUUAUAUUAAACUUGUUAUCAAAUCACCCACAUAAAUACGUAUAAUAAA